UGAACCUAAGGCGGAUAUGAACGUACUGUGGACUUUCUGCGGAGGGACAACGGUUGAUGUUCUAACUUGUUCUUGUUCGGUUCGGGAGCAGCAAGGGAAAGGCACGCAUCACAAAGUCUGUUCACUAAAUUAUGCUAAAUGAUUAUCACUACUACAAAAACGGGAAAAGAGACCCUUAAGAAUUGACCCAUUAGGCGAGAUAACGGGUCUCUUUAAUAUAAGAGAACCAAUAUUAAAGAUAAUGGGUCUCUAAUGACUGAAAUGGUCCACAAUGUAUCCACGGAAAAUAGAGUGAGAAAAACAAGAGAACUUUCAUUUAAGAUAACAGGUCUCUAACUUAAGAAAGGGCCCGCAUUUUUUGAAUUGGCAAUCAAGAGAGAAAAACAAAAGACCCGUUAUUUAAUUUAACGGGUCUCUUAUAUACACUGGACCCAAAAAAAUUUGUAGGAGAAAAGCAAGAGACAACCCCUCAUUUCCUUCCAUUUUCCAUCUCUCUUUCUCCACACUUCAACUCUAGAUCUAGAAACCCGAAUGAGAAAAUAUCCGCGAUGUUGGCGCCUCAUUACUUGAAAGCACUUAGAAGCGAGCACCCACAAUGCAACGAGCUACAAUCUCGCAGAUCUAAACCAGAAAAACCUAUGACAUCUGCUUUUUUCCAGGUAGCUCUUAAAUUAUGUUAAAGGUGAAUUUCUUCAAGUUGGAGAAGGAAUCUAGUUCUGCAUUGCUGGAACAUAUGGUAAGAACUAGAAUGAAAAACUAUCGAUUUUGGGUUAGCCAUGGAUGGACCAUCUGAUGACAAAAGCUAUGUUUCUACGAAGGUCAUGGGAACUCAUGGUUAAGCUGCACCAGAAUAUGUCGCAACAGCAUGUGCAAGAUUGAUUCAACGGGGAAAGUAAGAAAAGUAUUCGACUGCUCAUUUUUGGUUGUGAUCCUUCUGAUGGACUUUGGUGAGGAGUCGAAAGAGCUCAUUGUGGUUCAGCAGCACAUCAAGUCUCACUAAUAUGCUCACGAGAUUCUUAUCUAACUAACUAAGUUAGGCCACCACAUGUGCUCGUACCUGAAUUUGCCAAUAAGUAUAUCAUCUAAUCUUGUCAGUUUUCAUAGUUAUGUAAACUUUUGAGUUGUUAUUUUUAGUUUUUUGAGAUUAUAGUUGAUGUAAAGUAAGAAAUAUUUUUUUUGGUAAUGGUAUGAAUUAUUUUGGAAUUAUCAUCUUUAGCUUUUGGA